GUGCCAGCCGCCGCGGUAAUACGGGGGGGGCAAGCGUUGUUCGGAAUCAUUGGGCGUAAAGGGCGCGUAGGCGGUGCGGUAAGUCUUCUGUGAAACCUCUGGGCUCAACCCAGAGCCUGCAGGGGAAACUGCCGUGCUGGAGUAUGGGAGAGGUGCGUGGAAUUCCCGGUGUAGCGGUGAAAUGCGUAGAGAUCGGGAGGAACACCUGCGGCGAAGGCGGCGCACUGGACCAUUACUGACGCUGAGAGCGCGAAAGCUAGGGGAGCAAACAGGAUUAGAAACCCUCGUAGUCC
rnacentral:rRNA from 1 species